AUUUUAGGCAUCAGUUUUACACCCAUGUUCUCCCCAUGAACAUUUUAAAUCUACCCGUAAAAUUUAAAUCUACCCAAAUAAUUAAAAAAUUUUGAUCAUGGAACCUUUGUUCCACGUGUUCUACCCAACACGUAACAAAUAAAUUUUCACAAAGAUAUUCGAAGGUUACGCCGCUCGGAAGGUAAACAGAAAAGUUGCUUCUUUUUCGAUAACUAUCCACGAUAACUUGUGAAAUUUCUGACAUCGCUGAAAACGUAUUCAUGAAGUUGAUAUGUCUCAAAUGAUUGUCCGUAAAGAUCUUUGGAAGUGAACUGGAAUACGAAACUUAACAUACAAUAUAUUUGAUCCCCAUUUCCAUCAAGGAGGGAUGGUUUUUGUAUGAAUUUGAAUUAGGAUCUUUUAAAUUAAUUGCAGGCCGAUCGGGUGGUAAACUAAGAAGUUUCUUACAAACGUUUUUCACUAUGUAUUCAUAUUCGCGGGUGGAAUUUUCAAAAAUCUCGUGUUGGCGUGCACCUCCAGCCUAUAAGGACAGAUAGUUCAAAUAUAAACUAAAAUUGAUUGGCUAUGUUUGUUGGCCUGACUAUGGUAAAAUGUUCUUAAACUUCGCAACUUACCUUCACCUUCAUAAACUCCUAUCGCCCUUCUAUGUGAUUUUCAUGGCAUAAAGAAAUACCUAAUCGAGCAGAUAACUUAUUAUGCAUUUUUGGCUUUUUAUAAAAAUUCUUGGCUUUAAUAUGAGAAAAUUCUUCUUAAGCAAUUAUAUGUAUUUUCUAAACUACAGAUAAUAUCAAUAAUACGUUUUUGUGAUCAAAAUUCUCUACUAAAUGAAUCCAUUGUUUGCUCUCA